GAUGAACGCUGGCGGCGUGCCUAAUACAUGCAAGUCGAGCGAACAGACGAGGAGCUUGCUCCUCUGACGUUAGCGACGGACGGGUGAGUAACACGUGGAUAACCUACCUAUAAGACUGGGAUAACUUCGGGAAACCGGAGCUAAUACCGGAUAAUAUAUUGAACCGCAUGGUUCAAUAGUGAAAGACGGUUUUGCUGUCACUUAUAGAUGGAUCCGCGCCGCAUUAGCUAGUUGGUAAGGUAACGGCUUACCAAGGCAACGAUGCGUAGCCGGCCUGAGAGGGUGAUCGGCCACACUGGAACUGAGACACGGUCCAGACUCCUACGGGAGGCAGCAGUAGGGAAUCUUCCGCAAUGGGCGAAAGCCUGACGGAGCAACGCCGCGUGAGUGAUGAAGGUCUUCGGAUCGUAAAACUCUGUUAUUAGGGAAGAACAAAUGUGUAAGUAACUAUGCACGUCUUGACGGUACCUAAUCAGAAAGCCACGGCUAACUACGUG
rnacentral:rRNA from 1 species